UACGUAGGGGGCAAGCGUUGUCCGGAUUUAUUGGGCGUAAAGAGCGUGUAGGCGGCCAGACAGGUCUGCUGUGAAAACUCGAGGCUCAACCUCGAGACGCCGGUGGAAACCGUCUGGCUAGAGUCCGGAAGAGGAGAGUGGAAUUCCUGGUGUAGAGGUGAAAUUCGUAGAUAUUCGCAAGAACACCAGUGGCGAAGGCGGCUCACUGGCUCGGUACUGACGCUGAGGUGCGAAAGCGUGGGGAGCAAACAGG
rnacentral:rRNA from 1 species